rnacentral:lncRNA from 1 species
ACUAAAAAAGCAUAAUUACCUUCAUAUAACCUCAUACGAAAAUUUAGGCACUGGUAUCAUAGUCCAAAAUCAAACUCGAUCCAUGCAUCUAGAAAGUAAAAAAAAUAACAAACAUAACCCAUACACACUCAUUAGUCCCUUUAAAAUCAUUAUACUGGGAAUACAAAUAUGAUGAAUUGUCAAAUAAAUUUGAAAAUAGUGCUAG